UCCUCCCUUCCUGGUUAACUGGGCUGGAGGUCCUGCUGGCCUCCCAGGGCUGGUUGUCCCUUUUCUGGGGUUCGGGCUGUUGGCGGUCCACAGCAAGGGAAGGGUUUGCAAGACCCGGAGGUUUUCCCCCACCCCUUUAUAAAUGCUUUCCAGUGGUGUCUCAGUUCACCCUCAUUCUCUGACCAAGGAGAACUAGACGAGUGGGACCCCACUUCUUGAGCGCUUGACAGACGCUCUGCCAGUCAUUCGACUGAGGCUAAUGCUCUGAAAUCCUUAGGAGCGUGUUUUUUAAAGGCUCCUAAAACUUAAAUCGACUUGGUAAUUGCAAAGUGGAUCGGAGUUUUGUUUGCGGUUCCUGUCUCCUUUUAAGAAAAUGGUUUUUCCGUUUAAAAUAGUGGGGAAAUUUCAAUCGACAAUCUGUAGCAUGUUUUUUUGCAACUUAGAAAACCUAAAUGUGUCUUCGUGGAAGUUGUAAUUUUUAGUAAAUCCUGUCUGUUGAUGUAAUCCUCAGGCUGCAGAUAUCUUGAGGACUAAUGCAAUAAACGGAGAUUGCUAUAUAGAUGGAAUCCAGCAUUUGGAGGGUGGAUUUCUGGAGACCAUCGUGGUUGUAUGUUCCCAGGACAGCCAGUGAGAGACCCUAUUAAAAAAAAUCCUCUGAAAAUAAAUUUUCUGAAAGUUGAGCCCAUUUUAUAGCUCUUGUCUAGGUCUACAUAAUCCUACUCUAGCCAUUUCUUUUUAAACUAGGGAUUCUUGUUAGAGGGUUGGUGGAUGUAGGAGUGGUAGCUGGUUUGUCCAACUUGAGCCAGACCUUGAACUCAGUCCUCAGUAACUAUGGUCAUUUGACUUUUAACUUUCACUAGGUGGUUACAUGGACUUAGUGAAGGAUAUUUGCUCAGAUUUAGUGACAGACAAUUAUAAAUGUAACUGCUGCUGUUUUUGCCAUAGAUGCUGCCUUUAAGAGUUUAGACAACAGCCUUGGACUUUGAUCAGUACUGUAGAAAGUCUAAGUUUAUCUUUUUUGUGUGUGCAGUGAAGUUUUUCACUGUAGUCAUAUGACUCAGGAAGUGUGGCUUCUCAAAGCUGCCCACGCCUUAGUUCUGGAUCAGCAACUUGCACAUUGUGUCUUAGUGUCUGUCCCAUUUGUGAAUACUCUAGCAGGUUAUGAUGUGUUCAGUUUUUGGCUGCUGAAACUAGCCUACCCACUUAGAGGAUUUUCUGGGUUUGAUUUACUGUGAUCUAAGUUUAAUUGUUGAGAUUUUGUAAGUGACAAACUCAGGCUUUCUGGCAAACCCAAGCACUGGUGUUUUGGAAGCCUGUUCUUUCCAUACUAGACCUCUAACAGUUUUACUGGAGGUGGCAGUAGCCACCUCUCCUCUGUAAACAUUGUCAAAUGUUUGCACUAAACAGAUUUGCCCUUAACGGGCUUUCUAAAAUGGGGUGACAUUUGCUUGCAAGGGUUUAAGUCUGAUAGUUUGUGAAAGGGGAGGUAGUGUGCUACAUGAAGUUUCAACUGUUGAGCAUCUUUGUCUUUAUCCAGAUAUUAUGAGGAACUUUAUCAAAGGAGGGUUUCUUCAAGUUCUGUCCACUUAGUGUAGCUGUUAAAACAGUACAGCUGUGUUUACUUACUGUCUUUGGGUGAUGUGGGUGGUAAGUUUGGACUUUGGGAACCUGAGGUUCUUUUUGUUAUAACAUUCACAAAGCAUUGUGAGAAUUGCUAUUCACCUAAAAAUAGAGUAAUGAUUGGGUUUAAAGUCUGGUGAGUUAAAGUUGGUGAGUGUGGCUGCCUGAAAUGCCUAGUAUACUACUCAGGAUAUAUAUAUAUAUAUAUAUAUAUAUAUAUAUAUAUAUAUAUAUAUAUAUCAGCCUCCUAGAAUAGUAGCACUGCACCACCCCACCCCACUCCCUUUUAAAAUUAAGCUGUCUGAACAUUGUGCUGUGUUAUCAAACCUGUUGCUUGAGUAAUUAAGUUAGAACGGUUUUGUGGGUAUCUUGAAAUAGUAAGUGUUCAAAGAUGUAGUGUGGUUACAAUCUUGUGACUAUUUCAAGUGUUUGAGAAGACAGUUUUCAUUCUUUGGGAUCAGAAGGGAACUAUAGGACAGUUGUAAGCUUAAGUGUUAUCUAAUGGAAACAUUUUCUGUUUGAUCUGACUUUCCAAAAGUGACUUUGUUGUUAACAUAUUACCCCCCCUUGGUUUCUGUUUGUUUUCAUUUUUAAGUUUGUGUUGACACUUAAGGGAGUUUGUCUUCCAUGUGAGUCCUGGGGAUCUAAGCAGGCUUGGCCACAAGUGCCUUCUUGCUGGCCCAAACACCUAUUUUCUUUUUUAAAAGAUUAUGAAUGAGUGCUCUAACUGCAUGUACACCUGCAUGCCAGAAGAGGGCAUUAAAACUCGUUAUUGAUGGUUGAACUUAGAACUUUUAGUCCCUUCUCUUAACUCUUCCCUUGGGGACCCCAUUCUGGAAUUGGGAUAUUUUAUGAUUAUUUGAAAAUAGUCCAGAUAGCUAAGAUCUCUUGAUUACUUAAGUCAGCAAUUCAGCAUAGUACCCGGGCUUGCAGCCUUGUGAAAUGAUGAUUCUGUUUAUCCAUUCGCUGAGUACGCUGCACUGACCUUCUUCCCAGUCCCAGUUCCUGUUCUGGGAGCUUGGGGCUGAGUAGCCUCCAACCCUGCAAUCUGCAGUGUUCUACUGUGGAUUGCUUGUGUGUUGGCAGACUACUACUGGUAAGAAUGGCUAGUGUCGGCAGGGAUGGCUCCCUCUCUGGGUUCCAUCUCACCAAGAUGAGUGGUGCAAAUCUGAUCACUUCCUGCAGCCCUUCUAGUUCCUUGUUCAGAAGUUAUUUUUCACACUUAUCUAUUGUGUGAGUUUGCACUUCCCACUUGUUGAGGUGCAAGCAUAAUGGCCUGACUUGCUGAGCCAUUUAAAGGGAGAGUUAAAGGACAGGGAAGGUUAGGUAGUAGAAUUUUUCAUAAGACUAUUCCUAAGUAUUAUGUAUUUCAUAACUGUCAUGUAGGUCUUUCAUAUCUGAAUAUCUGUGACAAGGUGCUUUUAUUUAGAUUUUACUUCUUUACUAAUAAGUACUUCCUUUGGAGAAAAAUUUGACUCAUGAGAUAUCUGCUCCUUUCUAAGAAGAAAGACCAUUCAUAGACGACUUGGCUUCUUCAUGCUCCUUGGCAAAGAUUUUUCUUGGGCAGUAAAGGACUCCUUGGAGUGAACAGAAUAACUGAAGGGAGGGUUCAUUGUUAAUAUGUGCUGGGUAAGCACAUUUUUCUACAUUAGUAAUAAGAAAUGGGGAAAAUCAUUGAAAUAGAAACAACUACUUUUUCUUUUAAGGUAAAUUUCUUUGUAGUGACCAAAUAGAAAUAAUGAUUGAUAUUUUAUACAUGUCCCCCACCCCCACCAAGGUUUCUCUGUGCCACUUGUCCUAGACCAGGCUGGCUUCUGAACUCGAAAUCUGGCUGCCUUCUGUCUUCCUUGGUGCUGGGAUUAAAGGAAUGCCACCACUGCCCGGCUCUGUAUGGCUUCUUAACACUGUAAAAUGGGACUAGAUAACCAGCGCACUUCUGUUUAUACGGCACUAGUCUAAAGCAGAACUAGAAAGCACUGUGGUGAUGGAAGCAGUUUCCGGGUCUUUUUUUUUUUUUUUCCUUCUGUUUUGAGGUUUUGAAGUAAUGGCUUUAAAACAUUUUAUCGGGGCUGGGGAUUUAGCUCAGUGGUAGAGCGCUUACCUAGGAAGCGCAAGGCCCUGGGUUCGGUCCCCAGCUCUGAAAAAAAAAGAACCAAAAAAAACCCAAAACAUUUUAUCUACUUGAUGUUGGCUGGCCUCAUCCCUGGUCUUUUGCGACAUCCUUCUAAGUGUUGAGAUUAUAGACAUGCACACAAAAACUUACUUUUUCAAGAAGCAAUAAUUAAAAGCCAGCCUGAUCUGUGUAGGAAGUAUGAGACCUUCCUCAAACCAUAAUUAGCAAUGGUAAAACCCCUCACUGUGAGGUAAUAGCCAGUAACUUAGUGUGCUCCAAGAUUGAAGGAGAGGGACUGGCUCAGCCUGGAACAGUGCUUGCUGUUCUUUCAGAACGUAGCAGUUAAGUUUCCAGCACCCACGUCCAUAGCUCAUGCCCUUGACACCAGCUCCGGGGAAUCUGAUCUGGCCUCAGCAACAAAAGGACAUACAUAAUAAAAUUACUUUUUCUUUACAGGAUUUUUGGCUAUCUGAGCUGACAAUACUCCAGAGUCACUAACAAUCUAAAAACAAAAAACUUCAACACCAGAAACCUGGUUCUAAAGUAUGCUUAACCCCUUUGAGGGGUUAAUUGGGGGUGGUCUGAGACUCCUAAAAACAUAUAGAUUGUUGUUAGUGCCCUUGGUUGUUCUAGAGGUGGAAGGUAAGUCUGUACUACUUCUGAAAACACCAUGUAGUUGAGACACAGGGCCCAGAGGUCCUCUUAGCUUGAAAUGACUGGAAUGGAAGGAACCUCUUAGAGGACUAGCUUUCCUGGUACCAUACAGAUUUCCAAAAGGAGGAAAGCAGUCAGCAUUCCUACAGUCAUGAUGCCUGUGAACAGCUUUGACCAGCAUGGCAUGAUAACCCUGAGUGCAAUAUAUUGGCUUGCAUAAUUUACUAAUGGUUCUUUAGUUAAACUUAGGAUUCCCUGGAGAAGGAAACAGUGCUUGAGAUUGGAAACCUAGCAACAUACCCAGACCUAGUGAAAUCAUAAAUCUUGGGAAGAAAAACCCAUAAAUGAUACUUAACUACAUUCGAAAUAUUUUUUCCUACUAACCACAGGUAUGUGUAGCUCUCACCCCUAUGCAGUAGAAAGACUUACAGAAAAAUCAUAACUAAUGAAAAUGCAGAGUUAUGGAGGCCAAUCACAACUGCUACAUCUGCAAUAUAACUAAGGCUCUUGGAUUAUUGCAGAAAGGGGGGCAACAAGAUUAUAAGAGCCAGUGGGAUGGGGGGUAUGUAUGCUGUAUGUGAAAAACUACACCUGUGAAGUCUCGCUAGUAUAUCUGCUUAAAUAUGAUCUGAACAAUAGGCAUGCUAACAACAGGAGGGAAUUUCAGGAGCCCUCAACCCUACACAAAGAAGUUCAGACAACUAAGGAAUGCCGAGAGUGGAAUAAAUAAAUAUUCCGCCCUGUGGAGGAAAACACCAAAUGGCCAGCCCUGAAAACAUAAAAGUAACAUGCGUGGAUAGACUGAGCAAGUUGUGCUUGUAUUUAGGAGUGUAUGUAAUGUAACAAUAAUGAAAAGGGUGGCCAUUAAUAUGAAUAAUAAGGCGUAUUAUAGGAGUGUUUGGAGGAAGGGGGGAGGGGUAUAAUUAUAACUUUAAAGAUGUGUGAGAGAAGGGUGACAGGAAGCCUACCACCCUUUUAUCCUUUGGCCUGGUUUAUUUAGCAAAAAGGCUUUGGACUGCUGGGUGUUGGCUUUGCUGACUAAGCAUAAACAGGAAUGCUGAAGUUUUCAUCCUACUUGGUGAUUCCAGAAUGAGGAUACAAGUGCUGACAUAGAAGAUCUAACACUGCACAACUUUACUGCUGGUUGCAGCUAUAAGUGGUAGGAGCUAUAUAAUACACCCUUUUGUGGUUGUCUGUGAGAAGAUUAAAACCAGAUGGUAGUUAUUCAGUGGCGGGCACUUCAUUGUCACUUUGCCUGUAGUACUUAAGAGAAACCUGCUCCCUGUCCCCUUUGACCUACUAUAUAAUUCCAAAAGUAGCCCGUGAGUUUCUAUAGACAACUGAAUUUGCUUGGCUAAUAUGAGCAAAAGUGAAUGAAUUAUCAGCAUAUAGCACUGUGAUUCUCAGCCUUUGUGGUCUCAUCAGAGAGUUAUAUUACAAUUCAUAAUAGCAAUGUUAGUUAUGAAAUAAUGAUGGAAUAAUUUUAUGGUUGGGGGGUCACCACAGCAGGAGGAACUGUAUUAAAGGAUUGCAAUUAUAGGAUGGUUGAAAACCACCCAUAUAGCAUAUUAACUAAAAAGGCUAGAAACUAGGUUUUCUAACUUAUUUAAGGGUGAGGAAAUAAAAAGUUAGGCUGGGAGGUACAUACCUUUAAUCCCAUGCCUUUAAUCCUGUCAGAGGCAGGUGGAUCUGAGUUUAAGGACAGCUAGGACUGCUACACAGAUAAGUCCUGCCUCUAAAAACAAGAAAAUAAGAAAAUGGAUAUUCAGAAGUAUGGACAUUAUUGCUGAAUUCUAGAAAAUACACUGUAGCCUGACUGCCCUGUCUAUCUACCAGUGCUAACAUUUCUAAAGCCUGACAUUUGGCUUUAUUCCUCUCCAUCUGACUAUAACAAUUUGGAAAGAUGGAGUGGCCAGUUUGCCUUUGCAAUUUGUAUAUUACUUUUUAGAGGCUGUAUCUACUUAACACUUACAAAAGGAAGGUUGCUUACCAUAAGUGCCAGAACUAAGCAAAAUUGUGAUCCCUUGGCCUUCUGACUUCCAAAUAUGGCCAGCCUCUUAACAUUAUUAUCUAGUUAUCAGGAAAUUCAUGUUUUAUAGGUAAGCUUAUGGUUCUGUGUUGGUUCAUAUAUGUAUAUGUGUAUGUAUGUAUGUAUAUAUAUAUAUAUAUAUAUGUAGAGCUGUUUUGAUGUGCAUGUUACUUAGCCACAGGUUGUCUACAGGAAUUUUAUGUGUUUGGGAGACAGGUUUUCUCUAGCUCUGGCUAACCUUGAACUCAGAGAUCUUUUGAGUGCUGGGUUAAAGGCUUGUACCAGCGUUUUGAUCUUUAGAGGAUUUGACCUGUAGUUAGCCUGCCAUGGGUCACAUCAUUGAAGAAUACUUGCUGGUUCACCUUCUCCAGUGGGAAAUGAUUUCUGAACAUGAAACUAAUAUUAAAAUGUAUUUCAG